rnacentral:rRNA from 1 species
GAUGAACGCUGGCGGCGUGCCUAAUACAUGCAAGUCGAGCGAACAGAUAAGGAGCUUGCUCCUUUGACGUUAGCGGCGGACGGGCGAGUAACACGUGGGUAACCUACCUAUAAGACUGGGAUAACUUCGGGAAACCGGAGCUAAUACCGGAUAACAUUUGGAACCGCAUGGUUCUAAAGUUAAAGAUGGUUUUGCUAUCACUUAUAGAUGGACCCGCGCCGUAUUAGCUAGUUGGUAAGGUAACGGCUUACCAAGGCAACGAUACGUAGCCGACCUGAGAGGGUGAUCGGCCACACUGGAACUGAGACACGGUCCAGACUCCUACGGGAGGCAGCAGUAGGGAAUCUUCCGCAAUGGGCGAAAGCCUGACGGAGCAACGCCGCGUGAGUGAUGAAGGGUUUCGGCUCGUAAAACUCUGUUAUUAGGGAAGAAAAAAUGUGUAAGUAACUGUGCACGUCUUGACGGUACCUAAUCAGAAAGCCACGGCUAACUACGUG